AGUGAACGCUGGCGGUAGGCCUAACACAUGCAAGUCGAACGGCAGCACAGUAAGAGCUUGCUCUUACGGGUGGCGAGUGGCGGACGGGUGAGGAAUACAUCGGAAUCUACUUUUUCGUGGGGGUUCACGUAGGGAAACUUACGCUAAUACCGCAUACGACCUACGGGUGAAAGCAGUGGAUCUUCGGACCUUGCGCGAUUGAAUGAGCCGAUGUCGGAUUAGCUAGUUGGCGGGGUAAAGGCCCACCAAGUCGACGAUCCGUAGCUGGACUGAGUGGAGGAUCAGCCACACUGGAACUGAGACACGGUCCAGACGCCUACGGGAGGCAGCAGUGGGGAAUAUGGGACAGUGGGCGCAAGCCUGAUCCAGCCAUACCGCGUGGGAGAAGAAGGCCUUCGGGUUGUAAAGCCCGUUUGUUGGGAAAGAAAAGCAGCAGGUUAAGACCCCGCGGUUCUGACGGUACCCAAUGAAGAAGCACCGGCUAACUUCGUG
rnacentral:rRNA from 1 species